AGAGUUUGAUCCUGGCUCAGAUUGAACGCUGGCGGCAGGCCUAACACAUGCAAGUCGAGCGGUAGCACAGAGAGCUUGCUCUCGGGUGACGAGCGGCGGACGGGUGAGUAAUGUCUGGGAAACUGCCUGAUGGAGGGGGAUAACUACUGGAAACGGUAGCUAAUACCGCAUAACGUCGCAAGACCAAAGAGGGGGACCUUCGGGCCUCUUGCCAUCAGAUGUGCCCAGAUGGGAUUAGCUAGUAGGUGGGGUAACGGCUCACCUAGGCGACGAUCCCUAGCUGGUCUGAGAGGAUGACCAGCCACACUGGAACUGAGACACGGUCCAGACUCCUACGGGAGGCAGCAGUGGGGAAUAUUGCACAAUGGGCGCAAGCCUGAUGCAGCCAUGCCGCGUGUAUGAAGAAGGCCUUCGGGUUGUAAAGUACUUUCAGCGGGGAGGAAGGCGAUAAGGUUAAUAACCUUGUCGAUGGACGUACCCGCAGAAGAGCACCG
rnacentral:rRNA from 1 species